UACGUAGGGGACAAGCGUUAUCCGGAUUUACUGGGCGUAAAGCGCCCGUAGGCGGCUUAACAAGUUGGAUGUGAAAGCUCCCGGCUUAACUGGGAGAGGUCAUUCAAAACUGUUAGGCUAGAGGAUGGAAGAGGAGAGUGGAAUUCCUGGUGUAGCGGUGAAAUGCGCAGAUAUCAGGAAGAACACCCGUGGCGAAGGCGGCUCUCUGGGACGGUACUGACGCUGAGACGCGAAAGCGUGGGGAGCAAACAGG
rnacentral:rRNA from 1 species